rnacentral:rRNA from 1 species
AUUGAACGCUGGCGGCAUGCCUUACACAUGCAAGUCGAACGGUAACAGGUUAAGCUGACGAGUGGCGAACGGGUGAGUAAUAUAUCGGAACGUGCCCAGUCGUGGGGGAUAACGUAGCGAAAGCUACGCUAAUACCGCAUACGAUCUAUGGAUGAAAGCGGGGGAUCGCAAGACCUCGCGCGAUUGGAGCGGCCGAUAUCAGAUUAGGUAGUUGGUGGGGUAAAAGCCCACCAAGCCGACGAUCUGUAGCUGGUCUGAGAGGACGACCAGCCACACUGGGACUGAGACACGGCCCAGACUCCUACGGGAGGCAGCAGUGGGGAAUUUUGGACAAUGGGCGCAAGCCUGAUCCAGCAAUGCCGCGUGCAGGAUGAAGGCCU